AGGAGAGUUUGAUCCUGGCUCAGAACGAACGCUGGUGGCGUGUCUUAUACAUGCAAGUCGAGCGGUGUAGCAAUACAUAGCGGCGAACGGGUGAGUAACGCGUAAGCAAUCUGCCCCCUGCUCGGGAAUAGCCGUGCCAACGCGCGGGUAAUACCGGAUAUAGUGGCCCUGGACAUCCGGGGUUGACAAAAGAUUUAUCGGCAGGGGAUGAGCUUGCGUCCGAUUAGCUAGUUGGCGGGGCAACGGCCCACCAAGGCGACGAUCGGUAGCCGGCCUGAGAGGGUGAUCGGCCACAUUGGGACUGAGAUACGGCCCAGACUCCUACGGGAGGCAGCAGUAGGGAAUAUUGCACAAUGGGGGAAACCCUGAUGCAGCAACGCCACGUGUGGGAAGAAGCAUUUCGGUGUGUAAACCACUGUCGUGAGGGAAUAAGGCUGAGUUUCGGCUCAGUUGAAUGUACCUCGAGAGGAAGCACCGGCAAACUUCGUGCCAGCAGCCGCGGUAAUACGAGGGGUGCAAGCGUUGUUCGGAAUCACUGGGCGUAAAGGGAGCGCAGGCGGAAGCUCAAGCGGAUUGUACAAUACCGGGGCCCAACCCCGGACCUGCAGUCCGAACUGGGUUUCUUGGAUAGUUCAGGGGCAAGCGGAAUUCCUGGUGUAGCGGUGGAAUGCGUAGAGAUCAGGAAGAACACCGAUGGCGAAGGCAGCUUGCUGGGGACUUAUCGACGCUCAUGCUCGAAAGUGCGGGUAGCAAACAGGAUUAGAUACCCUGGUAGUCCCCU
rnacentral:rRNA from 1 species